UAAAAAAAAAAAAAAUCUAGACUUGACACGGGUAUGUUGAGGUUUAAAUCAGAAUGUGCAGAGAAAAUAUGGUGAAUGGAAUUAUUUGAAAUUGGUCAGACAAGACGACUUUGAUUUGAAGAGUGUUAUGACUUAGUUUGGAAGAAGUAUAAUCUACUCUUGAACUACAUGUACGAAAAUUUCGUGGACGAAAUUUCUUUUAAGGGGUGGAGGAUGUGAGAUCCCGAAACUGGGCCUGGUCCAUUGACCGGCCCAGCCCAAAUUUUGGCCUCACGUGCGUCGCACGUGAGGGCGUGUGAGAGGGGGGGAGCCAUCCCGAAGAAGCCGGCUCCCCCAUUCUUUUUAGGGCUCCUCCUCUCUUUGAAGGGAUGGGAAGAGGAGCCGCUGCCGGCCAAGAGAGAGGGAGAGAGGGGGAGAGCGAAAGAGAGAGAGAGAGAGAGAGAGAACCAUUAAAAAAGGUGGGUCUUCUUCGGCACGGGUCUUCCUCUUCCUCCAUCGCCGCCGGAGAGGAAGGAAGGCGCCGGAUCUUCGUCGGGGCUAAGGUUCUGCGAGGAAUUUGUGAGAUUAAUUGGAUUUGUUGUCGAUCGCGUUCAAUGUAAGUAAUGAACUGCCUUCUCUAGACUCUUCAUUUAUAUAAUAUUAUUUUUGCAUCGAAUAAAUUGUUAAUGAAUUUAUAUUUGAUUUAUGAAUUUUACGAGAUGAUGAUUUGAAUGAAAAAUGAAUAUGUGAACUGGAAUAAUAUUUUUCAGAUUAUUGCUAUAUUUACUGUUCUUGCAUCGUAUAAGCAUAUUUAGAUCGGAUUAUGAUACAUGUAUUAUGUUACCACAAGAAUUUUGAUGUGCAUCAGAUUUAGAA